rnacentral:rRNA from 1 species
ACUCAAAGGAAUAGACGGGGGCCCGCACAAGCGGUGGAGCAUGUGGAUUAAUUCGAAGCAACGCGAAGAACCUUACCAAGGCUUGACAUCUCUCUGCAACACUUAGAAAUAAGUGCCUCCUUCGGGACAGAGAUGACAGGUGGUGCAUGGUUGUCGUCAGCUCGUGUCGUGAGAUGUUGGGUUAAGUCCCGCAACGAGCGCAACCCUUGUCUUUAGUAGCCAGCAGCUAGGCUGGGCACUCUAGAGAGACUGCCGUGGAUAACACGGAGGAAGGUGGGGAUGACGUCAAAUCAUCAUGCCCUUUAUGCCUUGGGCUUCACACGUGCUACAAUGGCUCUUACAAAGUGAUGCAAACCGGCAACGGCAAGCAAAGCACAAAAAAAGAGUCUCAGUUCGGAUUGGGGUCUGCAACUCGACCCCAUGAAGUUGGAAUCGCUAGUAAUCGUGAAUCAGCAUGUCACGGUGAAUACGUUCCCGGGCCUUGUACACACCGCCCGU